GCAGCCGCGGUAAUACGUAGGUGGCAAGCGUUAUCCGGAUUUACUGGGUGUAAAGGGCGUGUAGCCGGGAAGGCAAGUCAGAUGUGAAAUCUAUGGGCUCAACCCAUACGAGCAUUUGAAACUGUCUUUCUUGAGUAUCGGAGAGGUAAUCGGAAUUCCUAGUGUAGCGGUGAAAUGCGUAGAUAUUAGGAAGAACACCAGUGGCGAAGGCGGAUUACUGGACGACAACUGACGGUGAGGCGCGAAAGCGUGGGGAGCAAACAGGAUUAGAUACCCC
rnacentral:rRNA from 1 species